rnacentral:rRNA from 1 species
UACGUAGGGCGCAAGCGUUAAUCGGAAUUACUGGGCGUAAAGCGUGCGCAGGCGGUUUUGUAAGUCUGUCGUGAAAUCCCCGGGCUCAACCUGGGAAUUGCGAUGGAGACUGCAAGGCUAGAAUCUGGCAGAGGGGGGUAGAAUUCCACGUGUAGCAGUGAAAUGCGUAGAGAUGUGGAGGAACACCGAUGGCGAAGGCAGCCCCCUGGGUCAAGAUUGACGCUCAUGCACGAAAGCGUGGGGAGCAAACAGG